ACUGAAUGAAUAUACGGAGGUACCUCUGGAUCAACUGUGAUACGAGUAGAGGUAGGAACUGUUGAUGCAGAUUCUGACUCUGUCACAACUGCGGUAAUAGUAGUGGGAAGCACAGAAGGCACUGCUGAAACUGGAACCCACUGCUUCUUUGGCUCCACAAACGUCACCUUGCCCUUAUCCUUAUCAGUCCUAGUAAUAGGGGGCCGAACAGGGGGGUGCGCAACAACUGCAGGAGGAGGAGGAGGAACCGUAGUACACUGAUCAUAAGAAUGACCCAAGUGUUUACAAGAAAAGCAAAAAAUUGGCCGCUUCUCAUAGAUAACUGUCUGCCAGAAGCCACGAUUACCAGCGCGCUCAAUCCAAACCCUGUCGGGCAACUUAUGCUCCAAAUUCACCUCAAUGCACACCCUUGCCUCACUAGGUCGUCUCAAGUCGGUGGUGGCCUCAUCAAUUCUCUAGGGCAUUCCUAUUGCCCCAGAUAAGGCGAAAAGGAACUCCUUCGCACGUAAAUGUACUGGAAGUAGAGGGAACGAUACCCAUACGGGAACUAUCGGAGUCUCUUGCUCAGGUGUAAAGUCACAUGUCCACUUAAGGACUCUCAUUGGACAACCGUCAAUAUACCAUGAAGGUUUAAGAAAAAACCUGCUGUAAUCCUCCUCAUGUGUAAGGUGUAUAAGAAUGUGUGUUGUGUCAAUCAAUCCCACCUCGAAACAACCAUGGAACCCAAACUUAGAAAAAAUCUCACGUACCUUCCUCAUGGUUGGCUUGCGAUGUGGAAAUUUCCCCACAAGUGUAUACUUGUAAGGAUCAGCGAGUGUAGCCUCCUCGGACUCAGUCAAAACUAUUGCCGGCUCACCCAUAUGUAUAAAGGGUUCUUUAGCAGCAAACCCAGCAGUGGAAGAGUCAUCUAUACCCUGUAUAACCGAUGCAAACGACUUUCAUGAACUCCGUUCAGCUUGAGACAGGCCCGGACGGCCAGAAACUGCAGUAGCAUAGGUCUUUCGGUCCUGAUUGAGCACUGUCUGGGCCUCAUGUGGAAAAACCGAUGAUGAAAUUGGGUUCGUAACAAAAUUCCCCACAUUCUGGUGAAGUGUCACCGGCGCGUGACCACCACGCGCCGGCCGUUGACCAGCGGCGAUUUUCCAAUGGUGUCAGAAAAUUAUGAUUUUUCCUAGGCAGAUGCGGAAUUUCAUGCUGAUCAUCACGGUAUGUUCCGUUUUCCGAAAUGAGUUCAGGAUUGGUCGAAAUCUGCGAUUUUUCGAGUGACUGGCCGGAACUUACGAUCGCCGGUAAGGGCGCGUCCGACGUCGGAAUUGGAUGUUUGUUUAUUCGAAGGUUCGCCUUUUCAUGGGUAAUCUGAUGGUCAGGCGCGUGUCCCUGUUUGAGCUCUGUGGAAGGGUUAAUUGAAAAAUCAGUUUUCGGCCCCUCGGGAUUCGAUCUGUCAAUUUCGGGCGAGUUGGACGAAAUCUCUACCACCCCCAGGGUUUUCGGCCCUUCUGGAAUCAUUGGUGAUGGUCCCAUAUCCAAAUUCUGAUCAGAAUUGGGUGUUUCGAUGACCUUGGGAUUCGUGCCAUGAUUUUUCAAACUCAGAUCUAUUGAGUUGGGGGAUGAAUCUGAUAUUGGUGUUAUAGGAGAUCUUUGGGUGGUUGUUGGUGAUGAUUUUCCACCACUUAGAGUGCUGCAAUCCGGUGGUUUUGGUGGUGGAUCAAGUUUGGUUGAGUUUUGGAGGUUUUCUCCCAUUCUAGAGAGAAGGGAGAGCGUUUUGGAGGUUGAGAAUGGUUUAGGGUUUAGGGUUUGGGGUUUUAGGGUUUAGGGUUUGGGGUUUGGGGUUUGGGGUUUCGGGUUUAGGGUUUCGGGUUUAGGGUUUAGGGUUUAGGGUUUAGGUUUAGGGUUUCGGGUUUCGGGUUUCGGGUUUCGGGUUUAGGGUUUAGGGUUUAGGGUUUAGGGGUUAGGGGUUAGGGGUUAGGGUUUAGGGUUUAGGGUUUAGGGUUUAGGGUUUAGGGUUUAGGGUUUAGGGUUUAGGGUUUAGGGUUUAGGGUUUAGGGUUUAGGGUUUAGGGUUUAGGGUUUAGGGUUUAGGGUUUAGGGUUUAGGGUUUAGGGUUUAGGGUUUAGGGUUUAGGGUUUAGGGUUUAGGGUUUAGGGUUUAGGGUUUAGGGUUUAGGGUUUAGGGUUUAGGGUUUAGGGUUUAGGGUUUAGGGGUAAAGCUAUCAUGGGAGAGAAGAAACACCUCCACACUCUGUUGCUUCACAUUCUGCUUCAUUGAUAUAACAGUAUUGCGCAUUGAAUAUGCAACACCAACACUCUAUAUAUCCUUUGCAGUUAAACUUUUUGCAUAGUUUUAGAUUUAUUUUUUCAUCAUACACUUCACUGCUUUUAAGGUUUUCAAGCAGCAUCCUGUCGUUGCAGUCAUUAGGAAUGAACAGAGACGAAAUGGUCACAAAGAAUAUAAUGAAAUGACCAAAAUUAUAUGAAGCCAUUGAUUAGAGAUGGGAGGGUUUUUGGUUUAGGGUUUAGGGUUUAGGGUUUAGGGUUUUUUUUUUUUUUUUUUUAACGCAAAUACCACUAGUGUGGUUUAUUUUAUAUAAUGAAAAGCGGGAAAACAAAUAGAGGAGGGGGGCAUGGACCUGACCUCCAGAAAAUGUAAAUUGUAACAAAUAUUUGAAGAUAAAAUGCAAUCACAGUAAACAAGACACGAACAAAAACUAAUGAUAGGUACUCAAGGGUAUUCCCGAGGGUAAAUCUUCGGGGGGUAGUACAUAGACAUUGAUCGAGUCAUGCGUCUGGUUUGAAACAUUUCUGGAUCAUAGUAGCUGUGGGAAUAGGAGCUAUGGAAGUAAUAAUAGGAGAAGUGGGUACCUCGAUAGGAGCAUUUGGAGUAGGCUCAGCAGCUGAAUGAAUAUACGGAGGUACCUCUGGAUCAACUGUGAUACGAGUAGAGGUAGGAACUGUUGAUGCAGAUUCUGACUCUGUCACAACUGCGGUAGUAGUAGUGGGAAGCACAGAAGGCACUGCUGAAACUGGAACCCACUGCUUCUUUGGCUCCACAAACGUCACCUUGCCCUUAUCCUUAUCAGUCCUAGUAAUAGGGGGCCGAACAGGGGGGUGCACAACAACUAUAGGAGGAGGAGGAGGAGGAACUGUAGUACACUGAUCAUAAGAAUGACCCAAGUGUUUACAAGAAAAGCAAAAAAUUGGCCGCUUCUCAUAGAUAACUGUCUACCAGAAGCCACGGUUACCAGCACGCUCAAUCCAAACCCUGUUGGGCAACUUAUGCUCCAAAUUCACCUCAAUGCACACCCUUGCCUCACUAGGUCGUCUCAAGUCGGUGAUGGCCUCAUCAAUUCUCAAGGGCAUUCCUAUUGCCCCAGAUAAGGCGAAAAGGAACCCCUUCGCACGUAAAUGUACUGGAAGCAGAGGGAACGAUACCCAUACGGGAACUAUCGGAGUCUCUUGCUCAGGUGUAAAGUCACAUGUCCACUUAAGGACUCUCAUCGGACAACCAUCAAUAUACCAUGAAGGUUUAAGAAAAAGCCUGCUGUAAUCCUCCUCAUGUGUAAGGUGUAUAAGAAUGUGUGUUGUGUCAAUCANNN
rnacentral:lncRNA from 1 species